UUAUCCGGAUUUACUGGGUGUAAAGGGAGCGCAGGCGGUGCGGCAAGUCUGAUGUGAAAGCCCGGGGCUCAACCCCGGUACUGCAUUGGAAACUGUCGUACUAGAGUGUCGGAGGGGUAAGCGGAAUUCCUAGUGUAGCGGUGAAAUGCGUAGAUAUUAGGAGGAACACCAGUGGCGAAGGCGGCUUACUGGACGAUAACUGACGCUGAGGCUCGAAAGCGUGGGGAGCAAACAGGAUUAGAUACCCUGGUAGUCCACGCCGUAAACGACGAAUACUAGGUGUUGGGAAGCAUUGCUUCUCGGUGCCGUCGC
rnacentral:rRNA from 1 species